GUGCAGCAGGCGCGAAAACUCCGCAAUACGCGAAAGCGUGACGGAGCUAUCCCGAGUGCCGUCCGCUGAGGAUGGCUUUUCCCUAGUGUAGAUAGCUGGGGGAAUAAGGAGAGGGCAAGUCUGGUGUCAGCCGCCGCGGUAAUACCAGCUCUCCGAGUGGUGGGGAUGUUUAUUGGGCCUGAAGCAUCCGUAGCUGGCUGAGCAAGUUCUCCGUUAAAUCCAGCGAUUUAAUCGUUGGACUGCGGAGGAUACUGUUCGGCUAGGGUGCGGGAGAGGCCGACGGUAUUCUCGGGGUAGGGGUGAAAUCCUAUAAUCCCGGGAAGACCACCAGUGGCGUAGGCGGCCGGCUAGCACGCGCUCGACAGUGAGGGACGAAAGCUGGGGUAGCGAACCGGAUUAGAUACCCGGGUAGUCC
rnacentral:rRNA from 1 species